UACAGAGGGGGCAAGCGUUGUUCGGAAUUACUGGGCGUAAAGGCGCGUAGGCGGCCCGCUAAGUCGAAUGUGAAAUCCCCAGGCUCAACCUGGGAACUGCGUCCGAUACUGGCGGGCUUGAAUCCGGGAGAGGGAUGUGGGAAUUCCAGGUGUAGCGGUGAAAUGCGCAGAUAUCAGGAGGAACACCGGUGGCGAAGGCGGAUCUCUGGGCCGAUACUGACGCUGAGGAGCGAAAGCGUGGGAGCGAACAGG
rnacentral:rRNA from 1 species